UGGGGAAUAUUGCACAAUGGGCGAAAGCCUGAUGCAGCGACGCCGCGUGAGGGAUGGAGGCCCUCGGGUUGUAAACCUCUUUCAGUAAGGGUGAAGGCCCUCUUUUGUGGAGGGUUGUCAGUACUUGCAGAAGAAGCGCCGGCUAACUACGUGCUAGCAGCCGCGGUAAUACGUAGGGCGCGAGCGUUGUACGGUAUUAUUGGGCGUAAAGGGCUUGUAGGUGGCGUGUCGCGUCGGCUGUGAAAUUCCAGGGCUUAACUUUGGGAUUGCAGUGGGUACGGGCAUGCUAGAGUGCAGUAGGGGAGAUUGGAAUUCCUGGUGUGGCGGUGAAAUGCGCAGAUAUCAGGAGGAACACCGGUGGCGAAGGCGGGUCUCUGGGCUGAUACUGGCGCUGAGGAGCGAAAGCGUGGGGAGCGAACAGG
rnacentral:rRNA from 1 species